GAUGAACGCUGGCGGCGUGCUUAACACAUGCAAGUCGAACGGAAAGGCCCAAGCUUGGUUGGGUACUCGAGUGGCGAACGGGUGAGUAACACGUGGGUGAUCUGCCCUUCACUUCGGGAUAAGUCUGGGAAACUGGGGCUAAUACCGGAUAGGACGUCGUGCUGCAUGCCGUUGUGUAGAGAUUUUCCGGUGUAGGGGAUGGUCGCGGCCUAUCAGCUUGUUGUUGGGGUAUAGGCGUAUCAAGGCGUUGACGGGUAGACGGCGCGUGAGGGUGUACCGCGACACUUGGGGUCGGAGACAGGCCAGAGUCCUACAGGGGACGGAAGAGGGGAAUAUAGUACAAUGUGCGCAGGCGUGAGACAGCGACGCCGCGUGGGCGAUAAGGGCGUUCGGGUGGUAAAAACCUUUCUCUAGGGAGGAGGCGUGUUUGUGACGGUACCUGGUGAAGAAGCACCGGCUAACUACGUG
rnacentral:rRNA from 1 species